AGCGAACGCUGGCGGCAUGCUUAACACAUGCAAGUCGCGCGGGUGGUUUCGGCCAUCAGCGGCGGACGGGUGAGUAUCGCGUAGGAAUGUAUCUCGAGGUGGGGGACAACCCUGGGAAACUGGGGCUAAUACCGCAUGGGGCCUGUGGGUCAAAGCCUUAGGGCGCCUUGGGAGCAGCCUGCGUCCGAUUAGGUAGUUGGUGGGGUAAAGGCCUACCAAGCCUGCGAUCGGUAGCUGGUCUGAGAGGACGAUCAGCCACACUGGGACUGAGACACGGCCCAGACUCCAACGGGAGGCAGCAGUGGGGAAUAUUGGACAAUGAGCGCAAGCCUGAUCCAGCAAUGCCGCGUGGGUGAAGAAGGUCUUCGGAUUGUAAAGCCCUUUCGGCGGGGACGAUGAUGACGGUACCCGCAGAAGAAGCCCCGGCUAACUUCGUG
rnacentral:rRNA from 1 species